CCCUUAGACGUUCUGGGCCGUACGCGCGCUACACUGACCAGUGCAACAAGCAUCCGUCCUUGGCCGACAGGCUCGGGCAAUCUUUGAACGCUGGUCGUGAUGGGGAUAGACUUUUGCAAUUUUUGGUCUUCAACGAGGAAUUCCUAGUAAACGCAAGUCAUCAACUUGCAUUGAUUACGUCCCUGCCCUUUGUACACACCGCCCGUCGCACCUACCGAUUGAAUGGUCCGGUGAAGCCUCCGGAUUGGCGCGCACCUCGGUGCCGCCGAGAAGUUGGCUAAACCUUACCAUUUAGAGGAAGGUGAAGUCGUAACA
rnacentral:rRNA from 1 species